UUAUGGUCAGUGUUCCUGGUUCCUGUUCUCAGUGUCUUCUGUGUCCUUUGAGUUGUUCAUGAAAUAUUCUUCAUCUUAUCCUGCCUGCUGUCUUCUGCAUUUGGGUCCACCUGCUCCACUCACUUCAUGACAACGAAGACUGAUCCUGAAUGAAGGGGAAGAACCUGCUGUUGCACAGUUGAGACUUCAACAUGAUGUUUCAGAAUGGUCCCCAUGUGUAGUAGCAGCAUAGGCUCCAUAGACUCUCUCUUCCUGAACUUACAGAUGCUGCCUGAUUGGAGCUGAGCACCCACAGUGGUGGGGUUGGUGAUUGUAGGUGGUGGUUCCACCUUUUUCCUGUGUGCUUUGUUCAACUGAGCAUCCCUGGGUUUGACCCUGGAUACACCUCCUACCUCCCCUCCACUGGUAAACCUCAGCCCUGAAUCUGCUGCUCUUUAUACUUGUG